ACACUGCCAAAUUGCGGGGACCUCCUAAAGCUCUCGGUGCCAAGCCUCAGUGGAAACGCUGCGGUGGCCAGGGUUAACAGCCCUGGGUACGGCAACAAUCCGAGAGAUGGACCAAUGGACGAUCCGCAGCCAACUCCUAACGAGCCGCCUGGCUCCAUGGAAGAGGUUCACAGACUAAACGACAGUG
rnacentral:ribozyme from 1 species